CUCGGCCACACACGCGGACCGACGAGGCGCACACACGUACCGACCGACAGCAGACAGACGAGCUUGGGCGGGAUCCGGUGUGUUGGGGGCGGCACCUGCGGCCGGGUGUAGUGGGAGCUGCAGAGACCCGCCCGCGGUGCCCUUUGGGGCUGGGCGGCGCGGCUGCCUAUCCCUGCCUACUCCGGCGAGUUACCUGCGGCCCGGAGAGGCCACGUGAUCAGGACGGCCCAGGGAACCCCGCGGGAGGGCCAAAACCCUGCCCAGGAGGCAAGAGCUCACUUCUGCCGAGGCGUGCGCUCGCCGGCUGGAGUCCCACCUCUUGCUGCAGUCCGGCGAGACUCCUGGGACAAAUCCAUUCUUUCUCCUACUUCCUCUCUAGCAGGCACUCUGAGUCCUCCGCAAAAGAAUGUGCAGGAUCAGAGGCCUCUUUCCAUUCUGCAAGGGUCACGCAAGACCCAUGGAAUUCAACAGGAGGCAAUCUAGGGACUAUAAAAGGUCGCGACGUCUGGCUUGAGGUUAAUGGAAGUUACAAAGGGUCAAAAGCCGACAGUGAGCGCUACCAGGUGUCGGGUCGGCGUAGUGCCGGUAGUGCAAGGCGCACGUUACUGUGGACCUGAAGGCUCAGGCCUUGGUGCCAAGGCCGCCCUGUGGGCUCAGGAUAGUUUCCCACCUACUCGACUGUAAUUAGUACUCUGGCGAGAGUAAAAAGG
rnacentral:lncRNA from 1 species